AUUGGACGCUGGCGGCAGGCCUAACACAUGCAAGUCGAGCGGAUGACGGGAGCUUGCUCCUUGAUUCAGCGGCGGACGGGUGAGUAAUGCCUAGGAAUCUGCCUGGUAGUGGGGGACAACGUUUCGAAAGGAACGCUAAUACCGCAUACGUCCUACGGGAGAAAGCAGGGGACCUUCGGGCCUUGCGCUAUCAGAUGAGCCUAGGUCGGAUUAGCUUGUUGGUGAGGUAAUGGCUCACCAAGGCGACGAUCCGUAACUGGUCUGAGAGGAUGAUCAGUCACACUGGAACGGAGACACGGUCCAGACUCCAACGGGAGGCAGCAGUGGGGAAUAUUGGACAAUGGGCGAAAGCCUGAUCCAGCCAUGCCGCGUGUGUGAAGAAGGUCUUCGGAUUGUAAAGCACUUUAAGUUGGGAGGAAGGGUUGUAGAUUAAUACUCUGCAAUUUUGACGUUACCGACAGAAUAAGCACCGGCUAACUCUGUGCCAGCCGCCGCCGUAACAC
rnacentral:rRNA from 1 species